UACGUAGGGACCAAGCGUUGUUCGGAUUUACUGGGCGUAAAGGGCGCGUAGGCGGCUUAACAAGUCACUUGUGAAAUCUCCGGGCUUAACUCGGAACGGCCAAGUGAAACUGUCAAGCUAGAGUGCAGAAGGGGCAAUCGGAAUUCUUGGUGUAGCGGUGAAAUGCGUAGAUAUCAAGAGGAACACCUGAGGCGAAGACGGGUUGCUGGGCUGACACUGACGCUGAGGCGCGAAAGCCAGGGGAGCAAACGGG
rnacentral:rRNA from 1 species